UACGGAGGGUGCGAGCGUUGUCCGGAAUCAUUGGGCGUAAAGGGCGCGUAGGUGGCCCGGUCAGUUCGUGGUGAAAGCGCGGGGCUCAACCCUGCGUCGGCCAUGAAUACUGCCGCGGCUGGAGCACUGUAGAGGCAGGCGGAAUUCCGGGUGUAGCGGUGAAAUGCGCAGAUAUCAGGAGGAACACCAGCGGCGAAGGCGGCGCUCUGGGCCGGUACUGACGCUGAGGAGCGAAAGCGUGGGUAGCAAACAGG
rnacentral:rRNA from 1 species